GACGAACGCUGGCGGCGUGCCUAAUACAUGCAAGUCGAACGCUGAAGGAGGAGCUUGCUUCUCUGGAUGAGUUGCGAACGGGUGAGUAACGCGUAGGUAACCUGCCUGGUAGCGGGGGAUAACUAUUGGAAACGAUAGCUAAUACCGCAUAAUAGUAGAUGUUGCAUGACAUUUGCUUAAAAGGUGCAAUUGCAUCACUACCAGAUGGACCUGCGUUGUAUUAGCUAGUUGGUGAGGUAACGGCUCACCAAGGCGACGAUACAUAGCCGACCUGAGAGGGUGAUCGGCCACACUGGGACUGAGACACGGCCCAGACUCCUACGGGAGGCAGCAGGAGGGAAUCUUCGGCAAUGGACGGAAGUCUGACCGAGCAACGCCGCGUGAGUGAAGAAGGGUUUCGGAUCGUAAAGCUCUGUUGUAAGAGAAGAACGAGUGUGAGAGUGGAAAGUUCACACUGUGACGGUAGCUUACCAGAAAGGGACGGCUAACUACGUG
rnacentral:rRNA from 1 species